AAUUUUGGACAAUGGGCGAAAGCCUGAUCCAGCCAUUCCGCGUGCAGGAUGAAGGCCCUCGGGUUGUAAACUGCUUUUGUACGGAACGAAAAGGCUCUUUCUAAUACAAGGGGCUCAUGACGGUACCGUAAGAAUAAGCACCGGCUAACUACGUGCCAGCAGCCGCGGUAAUACGUAGGGUGCAAGCGUUAAUCGGAAUUACUGGGCGUAAAGCGUGCGCAGGCGGUGAUGUAAGACAGUUGUGAAAUCCCCGGGCUCAACCUGGGAACUGCAUCUGUGACUGCAUCGCUGGAGUGCGGCAGAGGGGGAUGGAAUUCCGCGUGUAGCAGUGAAAUGCGUAGAUAUCAGGAGGAAUACCGAUGGCGAAGGCAGGUCUCUGGGCUGACACUGACGCUCAUGCACGAAAGCGUGGGGAGCAAAC
rnacentral:rRNA from 1 species